rnacentral:rRNA from 1 species
UGUAAGCGUAUACCAAAGUUGUUGCAGUUAAAACGCUCGUAGUCGGAAUUUGGCAGUUCCGGAUGUGUGCACGUCGUGUGCGCACUGCGCGGGGAUUGCUUUUGUGGUCUUGCGUAGGAUGAGGCACUUUUAUUAGUGAACGUCCUCACGCAACCACUUUUUACUGUGAGAAAAUCAGAGUGCUCAAAGCAGGCAUUUGCCGUGAAUGUAUUAGCAUGGAAUAAUAGAAUAGGACUUGGUUCUAUUUUGUUGGUUUGUUGGGACUGAGUAAUGAUUAAGAGGGACAGUUGGGGGCAUUUGUAUUUCGGUGCUAGAGGUGAAAUUCUUAGAUUACCGAAAGACAAACUGCUGCGAAAGCGUCUGCCAAGGAUGUUUUCAUUGA